AGUGACACAAAGCAAACCAGGCUCUGCAAGUCCGGCUUCUUUCGGGAACUGCUCAGUACCCGCAAGGGCCUCUGGUCUGCGCUGUGGAAGAGGCUGCUCAGAACCUCCCAGGGCCGCGCUCUGUGCCAUGGAAAUACGGAGCCAUGGUCGUCAGCUGAUGUAAAUUGGUGUAGCUCCAUUGAUGUCUAUCCAGUAUACACAAGCUGAAAAUACGGCUUAGAGUAAAUGAAUCAUGCUGCUGAAAUGCAGCCAGCUUUAAAACAUACCUGUCCCGUGGGGGUGCUGUGAAGUGAAAGUCGCUUCCACCCUUUUUGGCUGAUAAUUCACAAAUGAGCCACUAAUCUGGCAUGGCAUAAAGGCUGCAGUGUAAUGUAUGAGUCACUUUACCCACUCGAAAAUGUCACCAGUUGUGGAGAGAGACGCGGCAGCUGCUUAGUGGCGCGUAACCCAUGUGGUAGAGAUGGUCCUAUUAUUUAUAUAGCUCCAUAAAUGAACCUGGUGCUUUGCAAAAUAACAGCUCUUCCUUGAGCAGUUUACAACGCCGUUUACUCCUGAGCGAGACAAGGGCAGCUGCUGGCUCGACCGCCACGAGCCCAUUGACGUUGCGAGGAAAGCUCCCAGCUGCUCCAAGGGCCGCAGGAGCGAGCCCUGUGAGGAGGAAAGCACGGUGUCACCGAGGCCACUGAUACCUGGCAGAGGAUGGGGAAGGAGAUGGGAGGGAGGAGGAAAAGAAAACUUGCCUCAUCUUGCAGCAGAAGACCUGAGGCACAGAGAUUAAGGGCUAGGCCUGAAACAGAUUUAGGCCAUGCCUACACGAAGAGAAGUACCCUGAGACAGGUUCCCUCAUGGGAGCCGGAGUCCACAUGGCUGAAUAGCUCUCCCAGGAAGGAUCUGCUUUGCCACAGGAGGAUGCUGCCCAGGACACUAAGAUUUCUGUUAGCUAGAGCUAAGAGAAGGGCAGCCUGCCCCAAGAAGUGCCCUCUCGCCGCACGCUGA
rnacentral:lncRNA from 1 species